AAACUCAUCUCCUUCCCAACAGCACUGUGAAGUUGGUCCCCUCAUCUCAGUCCAGAUCAGGAGCCUGAGGCUCAGAGGUCCCCUGACUUCUCUAUAUAAUAAGUGGGGAACUUGCUAAGUCGGCAGGACUGGAACUCCAACCUGUAUCUUCCAACGAGAGAAGAAAACAGGUGCUGUGGAUACAUCAUCGUGCUGGAGUCGAAUGCAGACCUAGGUUUGAAUUCCAGCAUUGUUUACUUACUGUGGGAUCUUGGGCAAAUCAUUUACUAUCUCCAAACCUCGGUCUCCUCAGAUCCCAAAUGAGAAUACUGGCAGUCCUUUCAGGACUAUUUUAAGGAUUCAAUUAGAUAAACGUAUGUAAAAUUCUCGGCACAGCGUUUGGUACAUAAUAGGCACUCAAUAAAUCUAUUUUAUUGCCUUUC